AUUGAACACUGGCGGCAGGCCUAACACAUGCAAGUCGAACGAGUGGCGGACGGGUGAGUAAUGGCUGGGAAACUGCCUGAUGGAGGGGGAUAACUACUGGAAACGGUAGCUAAUACCGCAUACCAUCGGAUCGGCCCAGAUGUGAUUAGCUAGUAGGUGGGGUAAAGUCUCACCUAGGCGAAGAUCCCUAGCCGGUCUGAGAGGAUGACCAGCCACACUGGAACUGAGACACGGUCCAGACUCCUACGGGAGGAAGCAGUGGGGAAUAUUUCGCAAUGGGCGCAAGCCUGAUGCAGCCAUGCCGCGUGUAUGAAGAAGGCCUUCGGGUUUUAAAGUACUUUCAGCGGGGAGGCGUUACCCGCAGAAGAAGCACCGGCUAACUCCGUGCCAGCAGCCGCGGUAAUAC
rnacentral:rRNA from 1 species